rnacentral:rRNA from 1 species
AGCGAACGCUGGCGGCAGGCCUAACACAUGCAAGUCGAACGAAGUCUUCGGACUUAGUGGCGGACGGGUGAGUAACACGUGGGAACGUGCCUUUAGGUUCGGAAUAACUCAGGGAAACUUGUGCUAAUACCGAAUGUGCCCUUCGGGGGAAGGAUUUAUCGCCUUUAGAGCGGCCCGCGUCUGAUUAGCUAGUUGGUGAGGUAAAGGCUCACCAGGGCGACGAUCAGUAGCUGGUCUGAGAGGAUGAUCAGCCACAUUGGGACUGAGACACGGCCCAAACUCCUACGGGAGGCAGCAGUGGGGAAUCUUGCGCAAUGGGCGAAAGCCUGACGCAGCCAUGCCGCGUGAAUGAUGAAGGUCUUAGGAUUGUAAAAUUCUUUCACCGGGGACGAUAAUGACGGUACCCGGAGAAGAAGCCCCGGCUAACUUCGUGCCAGCCGCCGCGGUAACAC